GCGAGGCUGCCCGGUGCGUGUGGCAUCUCAACCCCCGGGGCCAAUAAGCAACCUCCGGGGGCUGGCUCUGUCUGGAUCGUGGUCCGGGUAUCCGGCUCCCACCUGCAACAGCAGGUCUCAGGAGGGUUGUUCCGCCCACGGCCAUGGCGGCUUCGCG
rnacentral:other from 1 species